rnacentral:misc_RNA from 1 species
UGAAUGGUAAUGUAGAAGACAAUGGAAAAUGAGAAAUGGAAUGCUACAUCAAAAUUUUGUUUUGGGGGUUGUGAAAGUAUCAUUUAUUAAAUAUUAUUUGGUUGUUCAAAGAAGGAUACAUGCUCUUUAUUAUUUUGUACGAAUUUGUAUUUUUAUGAGAAAGUAAAAAAUCGGUUUUGUUUGUAAGCAAGAGACUGUGGAGAUUAAAGUUUGUUUUGAAUAAAUUCAUGAUAAAAAAUCAAACAAUUUAUGCUUAGUAAUGUCAAUGUGUUUUAUUUAAAUAAAAUAGAAUUUUGUCAAU